rnacentral:rRNA from 1 species
UACGGGGGGGUAAGCGUUGUUCGGAAUUACUGGGCGUAAAGGGCUCGUAGGCGGCCAACUAAGUCAGACGUGAAAUCCCUCAGCUUAACUGGGGAACUGCGUCUGAUACUGGAUGGCUUGGAUUCGGGAGAGGAAUGCGGAAUUCCAGGUGUAGCGGUGAAAUGCGUAGAUAUCUGCAGGAACACCCGUGGCGAAAGCGGCGAGCUGGAUCACUACUGACGUGAGGAACGAAAGCUAGGGGAGCAAACAGG